rnacentral:lncRNA from 12 species
UACAUAAAAUUUUAUUUUUUGUUUAUUUUUAUUUUAUUUUAUUUUAUUUUAUUUUAUUUUAUUUUAUUUGUUUUAUUUAUCUACGAUAGUCACACAGAGAGAGAGAGAGAGAGAGGCAGAGACACAGGCAGAGGGAGAAGCAGGCUCCAUGCACCAGGAGCCCAACGUGGGAUUCGAUCCCGGGUCUCCAGGAUCGCGCCUUGGGCCGAAGGCAGGCGCCAAACCCCUGUGCCACCCAGGGAUCCCUACAUAAAAUUUAAAUAAAAUGUGCAAAAAAAAAAAAAUGAAACAGGUAAGAAGCUGAAAGUUCUUACAGUAAGCUAUGACAGUGAUGUUUGGAUGUUGAGAGAAAGGCCACUGAGGGUGUCAGUCAAGGAACACCAAAGACUUACGUGCAUUUUGUUUCUUGGGGGGAAAAAAAGGUUGGCAGUUGUGAAUGGUCAGUCUGGAUUUUUUACUCUGUUUCCCACACUUCCUUAGGAAUUACCAUUUGUUAAAUGUGCCCCCUCUUUUUCUUUUAUGAAAUGUGAGAAAGACAAACUCGCCAUUCAGUCUAUACAGAGGAUGCUGUGGAUGCUGUGAUACCAUCACGGGAUGCUGUGAUACCAUCGUGCGAGAAAUAAUAGGAUACUCUGUAUAAAAGCUACAAGAGGGAAACCCCAUGUUGGAUUCCUCCAAAAACAGCAAGCUCUUGGAGGAAGGCCCAGGAGGGACCUUAUUUAUUGCUGUUGACACCACAUUCCCUGGGAGCCCACCUUGCACAGCGUCUCCCGCUGCCUGUGGGACCAUUCUGGUUGGAUGCUCUGCCCUCACUCAGCUCCUCUACCAGAAAGAACAGUAACCUCGCUCAGCAGAAAAUUGGCCUCUUGGAAACAACAGUGGCUGCCACUGGAUGGCUAGAAAUGCUUUUUUGCUUGGCUGUAGCUCUUUUAAUGUGAUGAACAUCAGCUGAUUUUGUAAAAAUAAUAAUAACUUUAAACCAAAUAUGAUUAAAUAGAAAAAAAUUAUCUGGAACUUUUCAGGGUUUAAAUGGUGUGUGUGUGUGUGUGUGUGUGUGUGUGUGUGUGUGUGUGUCUGUGUGUUCUAAUUUACUUUUAACCUGCUUUGCCUAUCUGGAUAUGUGUUCAUGAGAUUUUAGAAUUGGGAAAAUUUGAGUAUUGUAAGUCACCAGUUCACAUUUGAAAAGUUUUUGUGCAUAAUAUGAAACACCUUUUAUAAUUUAUUUAAGCAGUCCACUAUUGUUAGACUUUGAGUCGCUUCCAACUAAACUCCUAUUGUUGGACAUUUUGGUUGCUUCCAACUUGGCCCUAACAAACCAACGCAAAGCCAGAAUAACUGCAUGAAAAUAAAUUACAAUAAAGGAGAAGGGGAAAAGGAGGG